rnacentral:rRNA from 1 species
GUGGGGAAUAUUGGGCAAUGGGGGAAACCCUGACCCAGCAACGCCGCGUGAAGGAAGAAGGUUUUCGGAUCGUAAACUUCUAUCCUUGGUGAAGAUAAUGACGGUAGCCAAGAAGGAAGCCCCGGCUAACUACGUGCCAGCAGCCGCGGUAAUACGUAGGGGGCAAGCGUUGUCCGGAAUGAUUGGGCGUAAAGGGCGCGUAGGCGGCCUGGUAAGUCUGGAGUGAAAGUCCUGCUUUUAAGGUGGGAAUUGCUUUGGAUACUGUCGGGCUUGAGUGCAGGAGAGGUAAGCGGAAUUCCCGGUGUAGCGGUGAAAUGCGUAGAGAUCGGGAGGAACACCAGUGGCGAAGGCGGCUUACUGGACUGUAACUGACGCUGAGACGCGAAAGCGUGGGGAGCAAACAGGAUUAGAAACCCCUGUAGUCC